GGUAGAGACAAUUCUCGCGAUUUCCUCGCUUAUUACGUCAAUUUGAUUAAAAAAAUUUUUUUAAAUCAAAGACGGUUUCAAAACACUCGUUACUUUCUAAAACGCGUGCCUUAAAACGGAAGGGAUGCCACCGGUUUAUCGCCUCCCCUCUCACGUGACCCUCUCUCACCCGGGGAAGCCAUCUUAAGCAGCGCGUCAUAAAGGAAACUACGUCUCCCAGAAUCCUUGCGCUUUGCGUCGUGCUGGCACUUUUAGUGGCCGGGUCUUAGAGCUGAGCCUGUAGCCGGGCGCCAUCUUUGACUCUGGCAGUUUUGGAUUUCUGCUGGUGUUGCUGCUGAGAGGACGGCGGGCGGUAGCGGCUAAGAAAGAAGAAAGACGUGGCAGCAAGCGGGAGUCGGGGAUAGUGUCGACGGUUCGGUAAAGUUUCUGUUUUCUGGGUCCCACUACUUGGGAGAUUUUCUCAAACUCCACACACAGAAAGCCACCGACCUUAUUCCGGUAUCCUACACCCCUUCCCUACCUUAAUUACACUUCCCACUCCCAGCCCUCAGCAUCGGAGUCAAGAGCAACAGGGACACUUCCGUUCUCCUUGUAGGACUGAUGAAACCGUAAUGAAGAACACCCCCUAAACUCCCAUAAUCGGUGCGGAUUCCUAUGGGGAAGGCCCAUAUUGUUGACAUCUUCCAGGCCUUGGUUCUGGACCUUGAGGAGGCUGAACUAGUGAUAGCGAUGCUUUUUAGGGUCAAUGUAUGUAGGUAUUGGGGGAAGGGGAGGGAUCAACCGAGAAGGCAUGGAAGUGGUUUAAAGCUAAUAUUUCAGUUUUUGCUGCUCAUAUAGAGUCCAACCUAGGAGUUACUCAUUUACAGGCUGUAAAGCUUCUCCAGACUAAAAAUGUCUGAAAACCAAGCAUGGAUUAACUCUCCAUACGAACAGUAAAUUGAAAAUUCAGCUUGUGAGUAAAAUUUAAAAAUUUUACUCCCAAAGCAUUUUUUUAGGUACCCACAUUUUUUAAAAAUUGUGUUACUUUUACUUAGAGUUGAAAGGCCUCAACUAGCAUUUGCUGUUAAUGACCAGUAUGUGGAGUCUGAUUUAGCUUUCCAGAAUUGACAUUUUGGGUUGUAUUGCCAAAUCACAGUUCUAAACGAUGAAUGUUGAAUGAUGCACUAUGUUUUUGUUUAAAUGAAAUUUACUGAGAAUAAUUAACCUCAGAAUUAAGGGAAAUUGAUGUUGCUAUCAUGAGGCAGCAUAAAAAAUACAUAUUUUAAAAACUGAAGACAUUUCAAGCAGGUAUAGUUCUUGAAGCAGAAAGAACAUGAACCUGGGAUUUGGAAGACCUGGUUUCUAGCUGCUACUGAUCAACUCUAUUACUCCGGGAAAGUAGGCUUCAGUUCUUUUUUCUAUAACAUGAGUAAAUUGGACUGUUUGAAUUCAGAACUCAGAAAGUUGGAAGGGAUCUUAAAGCCCUCUGUGAAAGAGUUUGGGAAUGUUCUCCAUUGCUGUCAUUUUUCCUCCAAAAAUAACCUGGUUUGGAAGUCAUUGGUCCAAUGGGAAUUUGACUCCCCAUAGAAAUUGGAGAAAAGGUAAUGCAAGUAGAGAGGAACAGCUGUAUAUCUGUUUGAGGAGUAAACCCACUAACAGAUUCUGGUACGAAUUUCAGAGACAUAAAAAGAAUGAGUGUAUGUACCUUAAGUGUACCAGUUUCCUCACUCUCUCCUGGCAGAAGAUGUAGCACUUUUAGUGGUGCUGGGAUUCUGGGAUGUGUUCCUAUUACGUCUAAUACAGAUGAAGAAGAUGUGGUAGAGGGAAAGAUGGUGGCAGAAGGACUGGAUAAAGAGGCAAAAUUGCCCACGAAAAAGAAAAGAAAGAAGGGUUUGCGAAUUAAGGGGAAAAGGCGACGAAAGAAACUGAUCCUUGCGAAAAAGUUUAGUAAGGAUUUGGUAUCUGGGAGGCCAGUUGCAGAUGCCCCUGCUUUGUUAGCUUCCAAUGCCCCUGAGCAGGAUGAAGAAAGUCUUUUUGAGAGCAAUAUAGAAAAACAGAUCUAUUUACCUAGUACUAGAGCCAAGACCUCCAUUGUGUGGCACUUCUUUCAUGUUGACCCCCAGUACACCUGGCGGGCUAUUUGUAACCUCUGUGAAAAAAGUGUUAGCAGGGGUAAACCAGGUAGCCAUCUCGGGACAUCUACUCUUCAGCGACAUCUGCAGGCAAGGCAUUCACCUCACUGGACCAGGGCCAACAAAUUUGGAGUUACUAGUGGGGAGGAGGAUUUUACUUUGGAUGUACCUUUAUCUCCCUCUUCCGCUGGAAGCAGUGGAAGCUUUGAAUAUAUCCCUACUGAUCCAUUGGAUAAUAAUGGAAUGGGAAAGAAACGUGAUAAAUCAGUAUCUGAUGCCCUAAGGGCAGAAAGAGGGAGAUUUCUCAUCAAAAGUAACAUUGUCAAGCAUGCCUUAAUUCCUGGAACAAGAGCCAAGACAUCUGCAGUUUGGAAUUUUUUCUAUACUGAUCCUCAGCACAUCUCAAGAGCUGUCUGUAAUAUAUGUAAAAGAAGUGUGAGCCGGGGUAGGCCGGGUUCUCACUUAGGAACUUCGACACUUCAACGACACCUGCAGGCCACACAUCCCAUCCAUUGGGCAGUUGCCAACAAAGACAGUGGUGCAGUUGGAAAUGGAUUAGAUGAAGCUGAGACUGAGAGAAAUGAUCUCUUGAGUGAUACUUUGCCUGGAGAGAAGUCUACAGGCAGCCAGGAUGUAACAGCUGAGGACCUUAGUGACUCUGAUUCAGAUGAACCUCCUGUAUUAGAGGUUGAAAAUAGAAGAUCUGAGAGUCCUAUUCCUGUUACAGAGCAAGACACUCUAAUGCAUGCACAGGAACAAGAAACAACAUAUUGUGACAAUUCAAUCUCAAGUCAAAUAAGUCAGGCAAUUAUUCAAAUGAUUGUGGAAGAUAUGCAUCCUUACAACUAUUUCUCAACUCCAGCCUUUCAGAGGUUCAUGCAGAUUGUGGCCCCUGACUAUAGGUUACCAUCUGAAACUUACUUUUUCACUAAGGCUGUGCCUCAAUUAUAUGAUUGGGUCAGAGAAAAAAUUUUCUUAACUUUGGAGAAUGUUCAAAGCCAAAAGAUCCACCUGACUGUGGACAUAUGGACCCAUGACACAUCCACUGACUAUUUCAUUGUGACUGUACACUGGGUCUCUUUGCAGACUACAACUUCUUCCAGUAAUGGCAGGAUCCCCAAUUUUAGAAAGUGGGCAGUUCUCUGUGUAACAGGUUUGGCCAAAGACUGUUUGAUAACCAACAUUUUACAAGAAUUAAAUGACCAGAUUGGUCUGUGGCUUUCUCCUAAUUUCCUCAUCCCUAGCUUCAUCGUUUCUGACAAUUCUUCUAAUGUAGUACAUGCAAUCAAAGAUGGUGGUUUUACCCACGUGCCAUGCUUCCUGCAUUGUUUAAAUACAGUCAUUCAAGACUUUUUCUGUGAGCACAAAAGCAUUGAGAACAUGUUAGUGGCUGCUAGGAAAACUUGUCAUCAUUUUAGUCAUUCAGUCAAGGCCCGUCAGAUACUACAAGAGUUCCAAAAUGAUCACCAACUUCCAUGGAAAAAUUUGAAGCAGGAUGAAGCUGGCCAUUGGAUUUCUACCUUUUAUAUGUUAAAAUGGCUCUUGGAGCAUUGUUACUCAGUUCACCAUAGUCUUGGUAGAGCCAGUGGAGUUGUGCUCACCUCCCUUCAGUGGACUCUAAUGACGUAUGUUUGUGAUAUUCUUAAACCAUUUGAGGAGGCCACCCAGAAAGUGAGUGUGAAGACUACAGGAUUGAAUCAGGUGCUACCCCUAAUCCAUCAUCUACUCCUUUCCCUGCAGAAGCUCAGAGAAGAUUUUCAAGUUAGAGGUAUUACUCAGGCCCUCAAUCUGGUAGACAGUUUAUCUCUGAAACUUGAAACUGAUACCCUAUUAAGUGCCAUGCUCAAAUCCAAGCCCUGUAUCUUGGCUGCUUUGUUAGACCCUUGCUUUAAAAAGAGUUUGGAAGACUUUUUCCCUCAAGGUGCUGAUUUGGAAACUUACAAGCAGAUCCUUGCAGAAGAAGUUUGUAACUAUAUGGAAUCUUCAUCAGAGGUCUGCCGUAUUGCAACUUCAGAAGCUUCUGGUUCCUCAGCCAUAGUAGGAGCUGAUUCAUUUACCUCAUCUAUAAGAGAAGGCACCUCCAGUUCAGGGUCUGUUGAUAGUUCAGUUGCAGAUAAUGUUGCCAUUGGAGGCAAAAGCUUCAUGUUUCCUUCUGCUAUGGCAGUAGUGGAUGAAUACUUAAAUGAGAAGUAUUCAGAGACCUCAGGAGGUGAUGACCCUUUGAUUUACUGGCAGAAGAAGGUGAGCGUAUGGCCAGCUUUGACCCAAGUUGCCAUUCAGUAUCUGAGCUGCCCCAUGUGUAGUUGGCAAUCUGAAUGUAUCUUUACUGCAAAUAGCCACUUUCAUCCAAAGCAGAUCAUGAGCCUGGACUUUGACAAUAUAGAACAGCUGAUGUUUCUCAAAAUGAACUUGAAAAAUGUUAACUAUGAUUAUUCUUCAUUGGUUCUGAGCUGGGAUCCUGAGAAUGAAGUUAUUCAAAGCAGUGAAAAAGAAAUAUUAUCUUAAUUUCUUUUUCUUUUCUCCAUUUAAAAUGGGCAACUUAUUGCUAUGUUACUGUGUCCUAAUUGCUAUAAUUGUUACAUACAGUUAUACUAAUUAUUCUUUAUGCACAAUCUGGGGAAACCUGAAAACACAGAAAGGGCUGAAAAUUCCUCAGAGGUAAUAUAAUGUUGACAAAGUGGAGAUUAACUUUAAGGAUUUCAUAGUAGUAACUCAGUGUAGCUGUCACUUGAAAUUUUGUUUAUACCAAUUGAGAGAAAAAAAGACUUUUUUUAGUUAAAAAAAUAUAGUGCAGCAUUGAAAGGCCUUAGGCUAUUUCUGGCUGGCAGAUUGAGCUAGUAAUUGGUUUUAAGUAAAAAUUUCUCUCAACCUGGGAAGUUUGAUUGCUCUGAAACCAAUGAAAUAGAGAAAAAGCAUACUAAACUGGCAUCUCUCCCCAUCACCACCAUUUUUCUAUUUCUUUAAAAACCGUGAUUCAUACUUACAGCUUGGCAAAAACAAAGUUCACAAAAUUGUUUUAUAUUUGGGAAUUUCUAAUUGCCUCCUCAUACUGGUCAGCGUUGUAAUUUCAACUUACUAAGUGUGAUAGAGUUGCCCUUUAUAGUUAAGAUUGGGUCUUUAUAGAAAGGAAACAUUAGAAAACAAUUAGGAAGAAAUUACUUUUAGUCUUUGAAUUGCCCUUUUUAACUUUUAUUGUAAAAACAAAGAUUAGCUACUUUUAUAUAAUUUAUGGGUAAAUGACAAUAAAAAGUUUACAGAAUUGAAAAAGAUUGAAUGGAAAUUGGAAUGAAAGCCCCAUGAGUAUACUGUGACAAACCAGUAUCCCUUUCCCACAGAAUGUUUCUCUGAAUUUAAGUGAUCUUAAAUGUCUUUUAAAAAUUAUACUGAAUGAUCCAUAAUAGUGUAUUCUUAACUUUGAGAUUAUUUUGGCCUUAAUUCUUAUUUAAAAAUAAGCAGUCAAUAUUUUCAUGUGUUAGGAAUCAUUGCCUCACUGGUAAAAUGAGAGAAUUGAUCUCAAUUGAUCUUGUCCCUUUCCACUCUGGAAGUAUGUUUUUGUGAUUGAGUGGGAGGCCAUAAAUGAUGACUUUUAGUAAAAGUCUAUUAAAAGUUUCAGACUGAAUAACUAAUGUAAGAUCCCAAUUUUUCCUUUUUUUCAUUUUAGAUUUGGGGAUAUUCCCUGCCCAAAAAUUUCCUGGAAAAUUGACUAGUAUUAAGUGUGAGUAAAAGGUGUCCACUUUUUUUUAAGUUUUGAUUUUAGUUUUGUCUUGGGUAGUAUUUGGCAAGAUUUAGCCUAGAAAUUAUGUAGUAUUUAUUACGUGAGAAUCAAAAUUGCUUUGUUACUGGGCUGGUUCAAAAUUUAGAACUCAUUUCUAUGUAUCAAAAUUGUUUUUUGUUUUUGUUUUUUGUUUUUUUGAAAUUCUUAAAUGGUAAAUGUACCAUUGUGAAAUGAAAUUUCAACUCCAAAAGUUUACCCUUUUACUAACUGGAGUAAAUGGAUAAUUAUAAAGUCUUUAGUUGAAGUCAUCUAGUAAAGAAUUUGGAACUAGGCUGCAUAAGCAAGCCUUUGCAGGGCCACCAUUGAAUGUCAUGCCAGUGACACUGGUGUUGCUAUAACAGAAGGAAAACAUCUUCCCUUAUUAGAUAGAAACUUUCUGUAAUUUUGACAGUGCCAGUUCAGGAUGACUAUAAUGCUGCUCUGCCUUCUACAGCUUGCUGCACCACUCUGUAGUUACUCUAUAACUAUACAUUUCUAUCUUUUUUGGUUAAACACUCCCUGAAGGUAAUAAAAGAUGAUGUGAUGAUAUACAUACAUCCACAUUGUACACAUCGAUAUAUAUGUGUAAGGAUUUCCCUUCAUCUUUAUUUUGUGGGCUGGGCAAAAUUUAGUGUAACAUAUUAAUAUACUUCAUGAUACUUUGGUAGAAGAGGAAGUUCACUAUUUUUAUAAUGAACCCAAAUUUAAAGCCUUUUGUAGUGUAUUUUAAAAGGGAAAACUUACCCAAAUGUUUUAUUUCUACACAUUUGUGUAUGUGUGUGUGUGUGUGUGUGUGUAUAAGCCAGUUAGUAUAUAUGUAUAUGUAUAUUAUACAUAAAACACUUUAUAUUUUUACAUACAAGUAUGUUUUUAUUAUACAGAUAAUAAAGAUGGGGGAAGGUUUCUGUUUUUUUCUUAAUAGGUGAAGAAAUCUUGAAGACCAGAAAUUGGAUCUUAUUGAAUUUUGGUGUUCUUUUUCUUUUUUCUUUUUCUUUUUUCUUUUUAAAUUAAUUGUUCGGCUAUGGAAGAUGGAUUUUUUUUUUUUUUUAAUCUUUGAAUCUCAAGUUCAUCUUUAUAUGAACUCUUUUUUGUUGUUUUUUUGUUGAGGAGAUAACUAACCCUAGCUGUCUCCAGUUUGACAAAGGUUAUUUGAAUGGACUUAAAUCUCUCAGUAGUUGGGAGAUGUUUUAAAAACACACCCUGUGUUUGAAUUGUGGCUGAGAGGUUUCCUUGGCAAUGUGAGGAGGAAAAUUCUUUCUGCCUCAUUAUUAUUAAUUCAUGGAUUGAGUGUUGGUUCGACCUACAGGCGUAAUAGAUUGGAACUCAGUGAAGACACAGACAUUCCUGCUGAGAGCAACCAGCCAAUGAUUACAUUUAAAAGACAAUUUCUGUGAUUGAGUUGUCUUUUGGAAGAUUAAACCCAUUUCAAGAGGACUUGGAGCUGGUCCUCGCCUUGAGGAAGCAGUGGCUUGUUUUCAAGAAGCCACUUUUCAUCUGAGGAUCUA